UACGUAGGCAGCGAGCGUUGUUCGGAGUUACUGGGCGUAAAGGGUGCGUAGGCGGUUCCUUAAGUUUGGUGUGAAAUCUCCCGGCUUAACUGGGAGGGUGCGCCGGAUACUGAGGGACUAGAGUGCGGGAGAGGAAAGUGGAAUUCCUGGUGUAGCGGUGAAAUGCGUAGAUAUCAGGAGGAACACCGGUGGUGUAAACGGCUUUCUGGACCGUAACUGACGCUGAGGCACGAAAGCGUGGGGAGCAAACAGG
rnacentral:rRNA from 1 species